rnacentral:rRNA from 1 species
GACGAACGCUGGCGGCGUGCCUAAUACAUGCAAGUCGAGCGAAGCGGCGGAUGGGUGAGUAACGCGUGGGUAACCUUCCCUUAAGUCUGGGAUAUCAUUUGUAAACAGAUGGUCAUACCGGAUACUACAGUAUGGACCUGCAAUGCAUGAGCUAGUUGUUAAGGUCACGGCUUACCAAGGCUAUGAUGCAUAGCCGAGUUGAGAGACUGAUCGGCCACAUUGGGACUGAGACACGGCCCAAACGCCUACGGGAGGCAGCAGUAGGGAAUCUUCCACAAUGGACGAAAGUCUGAUAGAGCAACGCCGCGUGAUUGAAGAAGGUUUUCGGAUCGUAAAGCUCUGUUGUUGGUGAAGCGGUAAUCAACCAGAAAGUCACGGCUAACUACGUGCCAGCAGCCGCGGUAAUAC